rnacentral:misc_RNA from 1 species
AGUAAUAAGAAAAAAAAAAGACCAGUUCAUUACUUUUUGUUUGUUGCAUAAACCAAUGUAUUUUAAAUAGCAAAUUUCAUUUAAAUCAGAAGUUGAAGAAUAAAAAGCUAUGUCUAUUACUAUGUAUGUAGCUUGUUUCCCGCCCACAAAUUCAUAGACAAUCAAAACAUUAAACAUAUAAAACUCAUCAAAGUAUGUUUCUUUUUAUCUAUUUUGACAUAUAGAAUAGAAAGAAAGCCUUGAAAGUAUUUACAUUUGCAGGGUGCAAACAGAAUCCGUAGCUGAAAAUAUUUCUCCUAGUGCUAAAAAAAGGGAAGCAAAAAUAAAUGACACCACAUGAAAGAAAGAAUUGUAUCAAUCAAUAAACUAAUUAUCCAAGGAAGAUUUAUCAGAGACUAUACUUGCUUAUUGAUGAUUGCAAGAGAACAACCUCACAACUGUCAAACAUAAUGCAUACUGUAUAAGAGAAUGCCUAAAAGAGAUUAGUUGUCACAAUCCAUAAUCUAAUGCAUCAAGAGCUGUAAAUAUUAAAAUGCGACAGACAAUAUGAAAGAGCCAGAUCAGGACCCGCAUAUCUAAGGUCCGCAAAGUGAAAAGGCUCUAAAUAAUAAACCAAAAUAA